AACUGAUUUGGUCCUGGUCCUACCCUUGACUUUUUCUGAGAUGACACAUGCAAGCCUAUAAGCAAAACAGUGAGUACUUCACAAAUCCUCCAGCCACAGAGUAAAACAGGACAAACAAACAGCAUCAGAACUGACCCCUACAAACCUAGAACGCUUAGAACUCCACUUCAGCAGUGCCUAACAUUGUACAAUAAGUAAAAACUUGAUACAGCCACAGAAAAAAGCACCGGUUAAUUAUGUGCCAGCCGCCGCGGUUAGACAUAAGGACCUAGUCAAGGAAAAGCGGCACAAAGAGUGACUAAAACAAAUGAGGAUAAAACCACCUCCAGCAGUCAAAAGCUUACAGGACACUAAAAACAACCACCCUCAAACAUAAAACCCCAUUUUCCCAUUGUCACUAAAGCUCAAAAAUAAACUGGGAUUAGAUACCCCACUAUAUGAGCCGUAAAAUAACCAAAACGCCCGGGAACUACGAACUAAAGUUUAAAACCCAAAGGACUUGGCGGUUUUUUAGACCUCCCUGGAGGAGCUUGCUACCUAACCGAUAAUCCACGAAAAACCUCACCAACUUUUGAAAAUUCAACUUGUAUACCAUCGUCGCCAGUCUACCCCCCGAGGGAGUAGGCACAAGGAAUAAAAUAUGAAUCCAUAUUUACUUCAACACGUCAGAUCGAGGUGCAGUUCAUAAGUUGGGAGCUAGUGAGCUACAAUAUUCCCCACCAAUUAAACACAAUUACGAUUAUGGACAGCCCCUUGAAAAAGGAGCUCAAAACAGGAUUCAGCAGUAAUAUCUAACAACAGAAAAUAGAUAUGAAGAACCACCUAGCUCUAAAAUGCGCACACAUCGCCCGUCACUCCCCCCGAAAGGGGGGAGAAGUCGUAACAAAGUAGGCGUAUUGGAAAAUGCGCCUGGGACAAC
rnacentral:ncRNA from 1 species